UGGAUUGGAGCCAUUGUAGUCACUGUACAGAAGUCAAAUGGAGGCGAAGUCAUUGCUGCAGUUAUGAGCAUUCUCUUUGGAGCUAUGUAGGUGUUAUUUCUCCUCUUCAUAUUUCUGCCAUAGAACAGACAAUUAAGUGAAAUAUAUAUUUUCUAUAAUCAUUCCUUAUAUUAAUGCAGAUCACUCACUUAUGCUGCUCCGGACAUGCAAAUUUUCAAUCAGGCAAAAGCUGCAGGAACUGAAGUUUUCAAGGUGAUCAACAGGAAGCCACUCAUAAGACACAUAUCAACAGGAAGAACACUUAUUAAGGUUGAAGGAAACAUUGAAAUAAAAGAUGUAUACUUUGCUUACCCAUCUCGGCAGGACAAUUUGAUACUUAGAGGCCUUUCAUUGUCAAUCC
rnacentral:lncRNA from 1 species